rnacentral:rRNA from 1 species
AGUGAACGCUGGCGGUAGGCCUAACACAUGCAAGUCGAACGGCAGCACAGUAAGAGCUUGCUCUUACGGGUGGCGAGUGGCGGACGGGUGAGGAAUACAUCGGAAUCUACUUUUUCGUGGGGGAUAACGUAGGGAAACUUACGCUAAUACCGCAUACGACCUACGGGUGAAAGCAGGGGAUUUUCGGACCUUGCGCGAUUGAAUGAGCCGAUGUCGGAUUAGCUAGUUGGCGGGGUAAAGGCCCACCAAGGCGACGAUCCGUAGCUGGUCUGAGAGGAUGAUCAGCCACACUGGAACUGAGACACGGUCCAGACUCCUACGGGAGGCAGCAGUGGGGAAUAUUGGACAAAGGGCGCAAGCCUGAUCCAGCCAUACCGCGUGGGUGAAGAAGGCCUUCGGGUUGUAAAGCCCUUUUGUUGGGAAAGAAAAGCAGCAGGUUAAUACCCCGCUGUUCUGACGGUACCCAAAGAAUAAGCACCGGCUAACUUCGUG